rnacentral:rRNA from 1 species
UACGAAGGGGGCUAGCGUUGCUCGGAAUCACUGGGCGUAAAGCGCACGUAGGCGGAUUGUUAAGUCAGGGGUGAAAUCCUGGAGCUCAACUCCAGAACUGCCUUUGAUACUGGCGAUCUCGAGUCCGGGAGAGGUGAGUGGAACUGCGAGUGUAGAGGUGAAAUUCGUAGAUAUUCGCAAGAACACCAGUGGCGAAGGCGGCUCACUGGCCCGGUACUGACGCUGAGGUGAGAAAGCGUGGGGAGCAAACAGG